rnacentral:rRNA from 1 species
GAUGAACGCCGACAGAAUGCUUAACACAUGCAAGUCUUUGGCAAAUCUGUGCUUGCACAGCCUAGCCAAGGCGGACGGGUGAGUAACGCGUAAAGAACUUGCCCUGCAGACAGGGAUAACAGACGGAAACGACUGAUAAUACCUGAUACAAUUGCCAGCACGCAUGUGCCCGGCAAUGAAAAGUGAUGCUGCAGGAGAGCUUUGCGUCCUAUUAGCUUGUUGGUGAGGUAACGGCUCACCAAGGCGAUGAUAGGUAGCCGGCCUGAGAGGGUGAACGGCCACAAGGGGACUGAGAUACGGCCCUUACUCCUACGGGAGGCAGCAGUGGGGAAUAUUGGACAAUGGGGGCAACCCUGAUCCAGCAAUUCUGUGUGCACGAAGAAGGCUUUCGGAUUGUAAAGUGCUUUCAGCAGGGAAGAAGAAAGUGACGGUACCUGCAGAAGAAGCGCGG